rnacentral:lncRNA from 1 species
GGCCGUUCAGUGGCUCUAGUCGUCCGGAGACCUCCGCCCGGGUGCACCCAAAACCUCCCUUCCGAGGUGACGGGCACCUGGCCUGAAGUCCACGAGAAAGCGCACCGGACAGGAUGGACACAGCUCCUCGGGAGGAGAUAUUUGGGGCCAUUUGCGGGAAGACACUGACUUCACUCGGAGAAGGAGGGGAGACUGAGCAGAAGGCGCCUCCUGUCCCCAAGCCUGGCCGCCCCUCAUCCAGCCCAGCCUCGGGCAUCACUAUCACAGGAGAGGGCUUUUCCCACUUAAGUCAGCCCAGGGACAUCCAGGUACCGGGGAUUGAACUUGGGACCUUGUGCUUGCGAGGCAGGCAGCGGCACCACUGAGCUACAUCCCUGGCCCUUCUUUGCGUGUUCUUAUAAAGGCCUCGUACAUUCAUUAGGACAUCUAAAAAAUGAGUUCAAUUUGUUGGAUUCUGGACCUUAUGAAAGUCAGGACAUAAAAUUUUGUUACUUUCCUUUUCAUAAUUCUUCUAAAAUAAAGAACAGUUCAUUUUAUAUUUUUUUCUUUUUUUCUGUGGUA